UACGUAGGGUCCGAGCGUUGUCCGGAAUUACUGGGCGUAAAGAGCUCGUAGGUGGUUUGUCGCGUUGUCCGUGAAAACUCACAGCUUAACUGUGGGCGUGCGGGCGAUACGGGCAGACUGGAGUACUGCAGGGGAGACUGGAAUUCCUGGUGUAGCGGUGGAAUGCGCAGAUAUCAGGAGGAACACCGGUGGCGAAGGCGGCGACCUGGGUAGAUACUGACGCUGAGGUGCGAAAGCGUGGGGAGCAAACAGG
rnacentral:rRNA from 1 species